rnacentral:rRNA from 1 species
UCCGUAGGUGAACCUGCGGAAGGAUCAUUACCGAGUGAGGGCCCUCUGGGUCCAACCUCCCACCCGUGUUUAUUUUACCUUGUUGCUUCGGCGGGCCCGCCUUAACUGGCCGCCGGGGGGCUCACGCCCCCGGGCCCGCGCCCGCCGAAGACACCCUCGAACUCUGUCUGAAGAUUGUAGUCUGAGUGAAAAUAUAAAUUAUUUAAAACUUUCAACAACGGAUCUCUUGGUUCCGGCAUCGAUGAAGAACGCAGCGAAAUGCGAUACGUAAUGUGAAUUGCAAAUUCAGUGAAUCAUCGAGUCUUUGAACGCACAUUGCGCCCCCUGGUAUUCCGGGGGGCAUGCCUGUCCGAGCGUCAUUGCUGCCCUCAAGCACGGCUUGUGUGUUGGGCCCCGUCCUCCGAUCCCGGGGGACGGGCCCGAAAGGCAGCGGCGGCACCGCGUCCGGUCCUCGAGCGUAUGGGGCUUUGUCACCCGCUCUGUAGGCCCGGCCGGCGCUUGCCGAUCAACCCAAAUUUUUAUCCAGGUUGACCUCGGAUCAGGUAG